rnacentral:tRNA from 1 species
UCCCUGGUGGCUCAGAUGGUAAAGCGUCUGCCUACAAUGCGGGAAACCUGGGUUCGAUCCCUGGUCAGGAAG